rnacentral:rRNA from 1 species
GCUUAGUGGGCUUUGGUCAAACUUGGAUAUGUUCUUCAUUGAUCACUCAUCUCUUCUGGAAGUUGAAUAGCUUGAUUGAGAGCCCGAAUAGGAAAGCAAAGAGAAGAGCGAAUGAGACGACCACCACAGCGACCACCCACAGGAAGUCAUGAUGGUACCCAAAAUAGCUUUCUACAAAAUCGGAUACCCGCACGCCAUUAUCAAACUUUUCGGUUACGUCUCCAAACUGUGAAGUGACCAGACCAUUCAGUGUCCAUGCAAUAGGGCUGAGCCAGUAGUACCACCUCCACCAUAUCGGGAUUCUAUUUCUUGGUGUAAUAAAUCCUGAGAAAAGGUUCCAAAGAGCAUAGAAUGCCGUGGAAGCAACAGAGGCAACGUUGUAGUUUGGGGUCAGGCCCACCGACAU